AUCUGCAGCCAUACCACCCUGAACACGCCCGAGCUCGUCUGAUCUCAUAAGCUAAGCAGGGUAGGGCCUGGUUAGCACUUGGAUGGGAGAACAGCACACCGAGAAGCCUGUGAAAAGCAUCCUGGAAGCAGGGUC
rnacentral:rRNA from 1 species